AGAUCUAUUAACAAGCAAUAAACAAGCACCCUAUAGGUGUACAUCGUAUAACAGUUAACCUCCAACUUCUGGAAGAUUAUGCUCAUGUUGAAGAGAGAUUAUAAUUAAUUGGUCUGUUUCAAUGAUUUGCACAAAUGAAAUAUGCAAUAAACAAGCAGCAUACGUGUGUACAUGGUAUAACAGGCUGCAAAGCACACAAGGACCAAAGUCCCUUCUCCUACCUAUCUUCCCAAUUUCUCCCUUGAAGUCUUAUUAUACUUUGUAUAAUGUUCAGCUUGACCUAAAUUCAGUACAAUGGAAUGAUGCAAAUAAGAUGUUG
rnacentral:lncRNA from 1 species